UUUAUUUAAUUCUGGUAAAAUAAUUAAUUAUAAGAUAGUUAUUUUCAUGUGAAUUUUAGUGUGAUUUUAUUUUAAUCUAAAUGAUUAAUUUUUAAUAUUAUUCGCAGUUUUUAUUUUUAUUUAUUUAAGGAAUUUUGAAUUAUUUAUUUUUAUUUAUAAUUAGUUAAAAUUGUGCCAGCAACUGCGGUUAUACAAUUAAUUAUAGUUAAUUAAUUCGAGUGUGAAUGUAUUAUUUAAAUUAUGAAUAUUGAUUAAAUUAAUUUAAUUUUAGGUGAAAUUUAAUUAAGUUAGUUUUUCAGUGGGUUAUGAAAAAUAUGAAACUCAUUUAUAGACUAGGAUUAGAUACCCUAUUAUUUUGAGUGUGAAAUUGUAAAUUCUUAUAAAAUUGUUAGUUAAGAACUUUAAAUUAAAAGAAUUUGACGGUAAUUAUAUCAUUUCAGAGGAACCUGUCCUGUAAUUGAUAAUCCACGAUAAAUUUUACCUUAUUUGUUAAGUUGUAUAUCUCUGUCUGAGGAAUGUUCUUCAAGGUUUAAAAUUUUCUUUUCCUUUAAUUAGUUUUAUGUCAGGUCAAGGUGCACUUUUAUUAAGGGUUGAGAUGGGUUACAUUAAUUUAAAAUUAUGGAUUUCUACAUUUUAUUUAUGGAUUGAAAUAGGAUUUGAAUGUAAUUUAUAUUAUAUUUUAUUUAUGAUAUUUGCUCUAUAUUAAGUACACAUCGCCCGUCGCUCUCGUUGUUUAAUAUUAAAAUGAGAUAAGUCGUAACAAAGUAGGCCUAUCGGAAGGUGGGCCUGGAAUUAUU
rnacentral:ncRNA from 1 species